rnacentral:rRNA from 1 species
ACGGAAGGCAGCAGUGGGGAAUAUUGCACAAUGGGCGAAAGCCUGAUGCAGCGACGCCGCGUGAGCGAAGAAGUAUUUCGGUAUGUAAAGCUCUAUCAGCAGGGAAGAUAAUGACGGUACCUGACUAAGAAGCACCGGCUAAAUACGUGCCAGCAGCCGCGGUAAUACGUACGGUGCAAGCGUUAUCCGGAUUUACUGGGUGUAAAGGGAGCGUAGGCGGUUUUACAAGUCUGAUGUGAAAGCCCGGGGCUCAACUCCGGUAUUGCAUUGGAAACUGUAGAACUAGAGUGUCGGAGGGGUAAGUGGAAUUCCUAGUGUAGCGGUGAAAUGCGUAGAUAUUAGGAGGAACACCAGUGGCGAAGGCGGCUUACUGGACGAUUACUGACGCUGAGGCUCGAAAGCGUGGGGAGCAAACAGGAUUAGAUACCCUGGUA